UGGGAGUGUGUGACUUGAACUAUUGAUUGGUCCGUGUAGAUAUAUGCCUGCCGCAUGGGAAUUCACAACCAAAUGUGUCUUUGUUCCAAUCUCCGUGUAAUCCCUAUACAGAGGAUUGGCUGGCUCGCUUAAAGAGAAUCUUUUCUAUGAUCAGGUCCGAAUCAUGUUGUACAUGAGCAGGCUUUUGAUUCCAAAAUCAAACACUGACUAUCCCCUCCCGGAGGGGAGAUAGAAAGGACCCACUCAAUCCAUACUUUCUUUGUUUGAGAAUGAUGUUGGGAGAAAGAAAGGCGACUCUUGUGAUCCUUCGACAUUAUUGAAGGGAGGGGGCUCGACCUGAAGCCUUUAAAUAGAGUCCCAUCCGCCUCCCCGGUUCCACGCGCCCUUACUAGUAAAGGCUCCCAUUGGGAGAAGCAGAAAUUGUUGAGUGAGCGAUCCGG
rnacentral:lncRNA from 1 species